GCCAGGCGCGGUGGCGCAUGCCUGUAGUCCCAGCUACUCGGGAGGCUGAGAUGGGAGGAUCUCUUGAGCCCAGGAGUUCUGGGCUGUAGUGCGCUAUGCCCACUGGGUGUCCGCACUAAGUUUGGCAUCACAGUGACCUCCUGGGAGUGGGGGACCACCAGGUUGCCUAAGGAGGGGUGAACCUGCCCAGUUUGGAAACGGAGCCAGUCAAAACUCCUGUGCUGAUCAGUAGUGGGAUCAUACCUAUGAAUAGCCACUGCACUCCAGCCUGGGCAACAUAGUGAGACCCUGUCUCAA
ensembl:misc_RNA Metazoa_SRP Metazoan signal recognition particle RNA